rnacentral:rRNA from 1 species
GUCUCUCUGUAGUGAUGAGGUAUAGGGAGUCGGACCUGCCCGGUGACUGAGUGUUAAACGGCCGCGGUACCCUGACCGUGCAAAGGUAGCAUAAUCAUUUGCUUUUUAAUUAAAGGCUUGUAUGAAUGGUUUGACGAGAGCUAAGCUGUCUCUUAUAAAAUAAGUAGAAUUUAACUUUUAGGUGAAGAGGCCUAAAUUUAUUUGAGGGACAAGAAGACCCUGUUGAGCUUUAGUGAUGUUAUGAAUUUAAAAGGUAAUGAAGUUAUAUUUGUAAUAAAAAAUUAAAUGAUAUAGUUUGUAUAAUUUAUUUUUGUAAAAAAUCUUUAGUUGGGGCGACUGAGGAAUAAAAAAAGCUUCCUUGAUAUGUUUAAUUAUAGAUAUUAUUGAGCAUAAUUUUUUACAUAGUGAUAUUGAUCCAAAAUUUUUGAUUAAGGGAAAAAGUUACCGUAGGGAUAACAGCGUAAUCUUUCUGGAGAGAUCACAUCGAAAGAAGGGUUUGCGACCUCGAUGUUGGACUAAGGUAUCCGGAGGGUGUAGAAGUUCUCGAAGGUUGGUCUGUUCGACCAUUAAAAUCUU